UGUGAUAGAAGAGGCCAUUCACCUUGUGGCAGUGUUAGAGCAGCAAAAAAGGCCUGUUAAGGGGAAACUCCUUCUGGUCAAAAGAUGAAAAGCUCUGAACUGGGUGGAGACCUGACAUUCCCCCUGGGCAGGUCAGUCACCUGGCCAAGGCACCACCCCCAGGAAGGUAGGCAGGCACACCGGAAGCCAUGUUUAAGAGACAGAUGCUGGCAAGAAUCUAGAUGUGAUUUUCCGAUACUUUGGGCUUCCUUGCUUGUUUUCUAAGUCUUUCUUCUCCACCACAGGGCUUCCUGGUGUCAUGUUGAAGGUCCCCAUGCUGGUAACUCAGGAACCUGGCUUUCCCCUUCUCUGCUCCAUUAUCCUCCUCUGGGCAGCGGUUAUAUUUGUAGCUUUUCUGCCCUGGGAUUUUUCUUUUAAACUCUGAUUAAAGUUGUCCUCAAGCUUC